rnacentral:lncRNA from 1 species
UUUGUUCAUGUAAACCUUCAAAUUUCUUUAUAAACUCCUUAGGUGAAUCUAUUUAAGGAAGCCUUCCUAAGAUUGAUGAAUUUGUAAUCCUAGAGAGUACAUAAGCUCUCUGAUGACACUCGAUCAUUAUGUAAUAUUUACGAGUAAUUUUUGAUAAAAUAGCUGGAAUAAUGAGCAAAAUUCAUACCAAAGUGUGAAGAAGUAAGCAAAAAACUAAUAGGAAAAAA